rnacentral:lncRNA from 1 species
UCGUCGCUUGGGGGAUACAGCCGGUAUGUUGGUCGUUUCCUGUCGGGAUCCUCCCGAGAUGGUAUUGGCGGAAUCCGUCGGAGGCCGAUCGUCCAGCCACUCCAUGCUGGCGACCAUAGCUGGAGAAUGUGGGGCAUGGGAAACCAAAGGCGAGACCGGGGUCCGGGAUAUGGCUGUGGAGGCCGUGGGUAGCUAUGCAGAUGCUUCGCGAGAGGGCAUCAGGCGGAGAUCCCGUGGGGGAAAGAAGGAGUGGGUGCCGGAGGAGACGAUCGGAGGUGGCUCCGUUGAGCGCUCCUUUAAGAAUAAGGGUACUGCGAAGACACAGC